AUCUGAUAAUGUAAGGAUUGAGACGACAGACAGUUGUGAGAUUUUCUCAGAAAAAAGAAUAAGAAAGGGCUUUGAAAAGCGUCUUUUUCUUGGCUUUCAGGAUGACAUGGAGGGUGUAGUGAGAAAGAGGAAACUGAAGUUAGUUUGUCUUCAAGUUGAUGAGCUAUUGGUUUUUUCCUGAGUCGGAAAUUACUUCCAUGACCAGAAACCUUGCUGUACGAAAAAUAGAAGACCUUGUGAUAGUAUGACAAUAAAUAAACUGAGAUCUUACUUGAUAAUAUCGGAGGAUUUCUAAAAAUAAACACCAAAACCAUUGACGAAUUAAAGCAACAGAUCAUAAAUCCUUUCCACUGAAUUAGAGUUGAAAAUUGUGUAACAAAUGUCAGGCUCUCCGUCAUAGAUAUCAUGAUUGUUUGAAUGCUGGUGGAGCCCAGUUUGAGCAUCUCUUAUGAUGCAGCAGUGUAGAAGAUAUUUGUCAGAAAUUUCGUCAACUGCAGCCUACCACCAUCGUUUCGUCAACUGCAACCUACCACCACCGUUUCUGUGGUUCUUCCACUAGAACUUGUCAUCGAGCCGAUUUAUCAAGUCUCUGCUGACGUUUUACAAGAAGGGGAAAGACUUAAUUGAAGUCUUUGAAUAACAGAAAUUGCUGUUAACACAGUGAUAUGUGCCGAGGAGAAUUUGUUUCCUAAUGUCGUAGCUUCAUUUGAUGACUAUUGAUACUAAGGCAGAACAGCUUUCUAUUUUUUUUAUCUCAAUUUGUCGAGAUAUUAACGGGGACACCUAUAUUGUCAGCGACUAAAGGCGGGAUUUUAUAGAAGAAAAUUCAAUCUGUCUAAA